CGACGGAUGAGAUGCGCGUGUUGGUAAAACCGUUACAAAGCCUUGAGGCAGGUUCUGUCGCCGGCUCCUGCACCCACUUAAAUCCUCUUAACUGAAAAGGAUCGUUUCUUUGUGUGACGAAAAGAGGAUCCAAGUGAUGUUCUCAUAUUCGUAUGUGUUAUGUUGUCAUAUCGGUUUGGAAAUACUGCUGCUGGAAGCUGCGUGGAAAAAAGUGCCUUGAAAAACGCACAGUGGAAGACCGCCACUCGUCCAGAUGGUUGGUACAGAGAUGCAACAUCUCUGCACAGUGGGUCGAGCCGGACAGUAAGGUGCUGAUUAUCAAUAUUUACCUACUUGCAUAACAGUAAUGAUUUCUUCUCAUCACAUAGUACAAAUAUUUCAAAAUGAUAAUGUACUUAACUGUUGUAUUAUUUAACAGCCAAAUAUAAAUAAUUUCCCGUACCGUGGUUCUAUGGAAUGCCUAAAUUCCCACUUUAGAAAUCACUGCUAUAGAAAACAUGCUUUAAACGAAAGCUACAAGUUAUUAAAAAAUUCAAACGUAAGUAAACGGUUUGUGAAUAGAUACAUAUUAACGACCUUAGUGGCACAGUGGUGAGCAUACUGCAUUGCGUAAUUGAUGUCUCGGAUUUGAUUCCC